rnacentral:rRNA from 1 species
AUUGAACGCUGGCGGCAGGCCUAACACAUGCACGUCGAGCGAGCGGCGGACGGGUGAGUAAUGUAUGGGGACUGCCCGAUAGAGGGGGAUAACUACUGGAAACGGUGGCUAAUACCGCCUACUGUCGGAUAACCCAUAGGGGAGUAGCUAGUAGGUAAGGUAAUGGCUUACCUAGGCGAUGAUCCCUAGCUGGUCUGAGAGGAUGAUCAGCCACACUGGGACUGAGACACGGCCCAGACUCCUACGGAGGCAGCAGUGGGGAAUAUUGCACAAUGGGCGCAAGCCUGAUGCAGCCAUGCCGCGUGUAUGAAGAAGGCCCUAGGGUUGUAAAGUACUUUCAGUCGGGAGGCGUUACCGACAGAAGAAGCACCGGCUAACUCCGUGCCAGCAGCCGCGGUAAUUC